rnacentral:lncRNA from 1 species
GAGGUCUUUGCCUUCUGCUUAGUCCAGUGGGUUAUUGACUGCUCUCCAGGGCAGAGAGGUCCGGUGUUCCUGUGUUUAGGUGUUUGAGCUGCCUUAAGAGGCUAGGUCAGUUCUCACUGGUGUCUUCAGGGCUUUAGGCCUUCGGAACAAGCGGGAGGAAGCACGACUUUGGAGAGCUUUGGAAAGCUCAACGGACUUCAGGGCCAUCCCCUUGGCAGGAGAGAGCCCCACUGGAGGCGAGCAGGGUGCCCUGCAGGCCUGUGCAGGGCCCAGGAAUGUACGGACGUUGUGAGGGCCACAGGACACAGAUCGGUCUUGGUUCACAACUGGUGUGAUGGCCACGCAGCAUUUCUGGCAGAUCUAUACAACCUGGCGUUUGGCCGUGGCUUCCAGGACAGGCUGGAUGCAGAGUGAAGUCCUCUCCUCACUGUCAAUGUUUGCAGAUGUCUUCUUGUAUAAACUUCGUAUUUCUUGAGACUUUCAAUUAGGUUUUUACUUAACUGGACUUUUAAAAUUGCCAUGCACAUAACUCUACCAGUUACAAUCUUGAGCUAACAUGGGUUUUGGUUUUGGUUUUGGUUUUACUUUGAUGAAUGUUUAACAUUUGCAUGCUGGAUGUGGGGGUGGAGGUCAUUUAUCUGCUUUUCAUUGCCUUCUUGGUUAUACUUAGUGACUUUCAGGUAAGGUGUGGAAGGCGUGGUACAGGGUGAAUUGCAGGCCGCACUGUGGCGCCGUGGAGGACAGGUGCGGGCUGCAGUGGUGUGCACAGUGGAUGAGAGACAAGAGGAGACUUCCAUCCUUGAGGGAAACACACAACAAUUUAAAAAACUGAUCGUCUAGCUUACAUGAGGUCCAACAAAUUCAGUUUGCAAAGUUUAACUUCCAAGUUAAUUUAGUAAUUUUUCCCCUAAGUCAUUAAUUUAGUAGCUUAUGUUUAAAUAUAUUUCUUUUGUCUAAAGGAGGCCAUAAAUUCUAAAAUGAAUGACUAAACAUGUAAUAAUUUAGGCAUACAGCACCUGAAGGGAAAACUGCCAGUAUGCUAAAAUAUUGGAUACAGAUGCUUUUAAAAAAUAUAAUGUAGCAUUCUUACAAUGCAUGUGCUCUUAGCGUGUAACUUGGUGGGUAGUUUUGAACUAUAUUUGUGGGAAUGUGUAUCUUGAAUACUUGAGGCUACCACUGCAGAUGUGUGUGUGAGAUGUAUAAAUACUGAAUGUUAUUCUCCCUUCCCUUAAAUGGAAAACAUUAGCUCCCUUUUAUUUCCAUUUUAUUUUUAUUUUUGAAGUGGACUCUUGCUCGUUGCCCAGGCUGGAGUGCAAUGGCACAAUCUCGGCCCACUGCAAUUUCUGCUUCCCGGGUUGAAGUGAUUCUCCUCUCUCAGCCUCCUGAGUAGCUGGGACUACAGGCACCCGCCACCACGCCCAGCUAAUUUUUGUAUUUUUAUUAGAGAUGGAGUUUUGCCAUAUUGGCCAGGCUGGUCUUAAACUCCUGACUUCAGGUGAUCUGCCCACCCCGACCUCCCAAAGUGCUGGGAUUACAGGCGUGAGCCACCGUGCCCAGCCAGCUCCCUUGUGUAAUGAUUUUUA